AGAUAACGCAGGUGUCCUAAGA
rnacentral:snRNA from 1 species